GGGAAUGUAGCUCAGUUGGUAGAGUGCUUGCCUUGCAUGCACAAGGCCCUAGGUUCAAUCCCCAGCACCACCA
rnacentral:tRNA from 1 species